CACUUCCGAAGUAAGGCUGAAGAGAUAUAGUUGUCCCACCCGCUUAUUGGUUAGGGAAAUCGUUACUUUAGUGCCCUGGAAGUAUUUCCGCCGUGAACUCGGCUGAUUGCAAAUUGCUCCCGGCCCAGGAGAGCCUUAGGUGCCCUUUAAACUCCUUCCCCAAGCAGCAUGCCUCCAACCAGUGAAAGCAGCAAAACGGAAAAGUCCUUGGCCCUGUUCUGGGGCUGUGAGUUGAGCCAAGAGAACCGUUCUUAUACCUUUGAUCCCUUAGAAGAUGGUGAUCACAAAUUGAUUCUGAAUAUGGUAUGCUUAGGUGAGAAGACCAAAGAUGAGCCAAAUAUAGUGGAGGUCAUACCACCCCCUGAUGAGAAUGGCAAGAAGAGGCCACCAGUUCCCAUUGCCAUGCUGAAGCCCUCCGUCCUGCCCAUGGCCAACAUUUCGGGAAUGGAGCUCACUUCCCCCGUCACUUUCCAUCUUCGGUCAGGCUCAGGGCCAGUCCACAUCAGUGGCCGCAAUCUUACGGUGGCUUUAGACCUGCCCUGGGAGGAAGGAGAGAGAGAGGAAGAAGAGGCCAGUGAGGAGGAGGAAGAGGCCAGUGAGGAAGAAGAAGAAGAAGAAGAAGAUGCUGAUGAAGAUUCUGAUGAGAUAUCCCUGGGGACUUCUCCACCUAAAUCAACCAAGCGACUAGCUUCCAACAGCCAGGCUGGUGUCGCAAAGAAAAAGAAGCUGGAGGAAGAGCACAGUGCCCCAUCCCGGAAGAGCCCAGAAGCCAAGGUAAGCGCUAAAGGAGGGAGGAGGGGGGCUGGAGGCGGGCGCCAUGCUCCGGCCUAGGCACACAAAGCCCCUUUUCCCCAACAGGCCAAAGCCAAGAAGGCAAGGCUCACAGCCAAGAAGUAAAGGCACCCUGGAGGAGAGGAGCCAAAAAGACGAGAACGGCAACCGAUGCUGAUAAUGACGCACGUUUCAUAGAACAGUAACUCAUAUAAACCGCAUACACUGAUAAUAAUAAACCAUUUUUCUGACCUCCGGCUUCUUGGGUGGUUCCGCGGCUGGCCACACCCUUCUCCCUUCCUGCCCGGCGCUCCGUGCAGUUGACCCGGACCCCCGGCAGAGGUCAGCUCUGGGCUGCUGAAAUGCUGAUGCCAGUGGCUCGGCUCCCUGCCCUCCUCGCCAUUCGGAGCCAUCCCUGGGCGCCGGCGCGCCUUUCCUCCGCCCAGGCUGCCUCUGCUUCUCUGGAGCGCAUGCCAUUCCUCACUUACCUCCAUUUCCCCAGAUUCUCCUCCCUUCCUUUCAGAAGUCCCCCAUCCGAGGAGGCGGGUUUUUGUUGGGGGAGGGGCGCGCGGCGGCGAAAUCUUUUUUAUAGAGUAAGUAGAGGCCUUUAUGACAUCUUUCAGGCAGACUCUAGGCCUGAUUGCCAGGUUAAGUCUUGCACGCGCCUUUCCCACCUGUCCCGGGCUGCGCUUUGUCCACCCAGGAGACUUGUACCCCAUCUGGCUGUCUAGAUGAGGAAGAAACGGAGGGAGGGGGAGGGGGCGGCCUCCCUCCGCCGGGGAGCGUCCUGAGAACGCACCUGUCCCCAGGCCGGUGUACCUAUGAAUGCAGACACAAAUGGACCUUCUAAAGGCCUGGGCCCCAGCCAAACCAGCCUUUCCCCCCACCUCAUUUCCAAGCCAGAAAAGUCCUGAAUAGGGGGACACAAUAGAGGAUUAGGGAGCCAUGGGGGCCCCAUUGUGCACCAUUGACCUGGUCUUGGUGCUGCCGGGCCCCAUUGCUG